rnacentral:rRNA from 1 species
CGAAAGUUAGGAGGUUCGAAGGCGAUCAGAUACCGCCCUAGUUCUAACCAUAAACGAUGCCAACUAGCGAUCCGCCUGAGUUCCUCAAAUGACUCGGCGGGCAGCUUCCGGGAAACCAAAGUGUUUGGGUUCCGGGGGAAGUAUGGUUGCAAAGCUGAAACUUAAAGGAAUUGACGGAAGGGCACCACCAGGAGUGGAGCCUGCGGCUUAAUUUGACUCAACACGGGAAAACUUACCCGGCCCGGACACUGGAAGGAUUGACAGAUUAAGAGCUCUUUCUUGAUUCAGUGGGUGGUGGUGCAUGGCCGUUCUUAGUUGGUGGAGCGAUUUGUCUGGUUAAUUCCGAUAACGAACGAGACUCUAGCCUACUAAAUAGGCGUUCCGAUCCUUUAUGUCGGACGUUCUUCUUAGAGGGACAAGCGGCUUUUAGCCGCACGAGACAGAGCAAUAACAGGUCUGUGAUGCCCUUAGAUGUCCGGGGCCGCACGCGCGCUACACUGAAGGAAUCAGCGUGUGCUUUCCCUGUCUGGUAGGACUGGGUAACCCGUUAAACCUCCUUCGUGAUAGGGAUAGGGGCUUGUAAUUGUCCCCUUGAACGAGGAAUUCCCAGUAAGCACGAGUCAUAAGCUCGUGUUGAUUACGUCCCUGCCCUUUGUACACACCGCCCGUCGCUACUACCGAUUGAAUGAUUUAGUGAGGUCUUCGGACUGGCGCUCGUAGCGACCUUUGGCCGCGCCGACGUGCCGGAAAGAUGACCAAACUUGAUCAUUUAGAGGAAGUAAAAGU